AUCGGUUCUUUUCUCAAUAAUAUAUCGUUUUAGGCCGAGAAUAUUUUCGGGCCCAACCGUGGAUUUUUUGGGCCUCAACAUUAGCCCCCUUAAUUAUUAGGGCCAUGGAUAAGUGCUGGAAUGGGCCGAAUAAUUAAUCCCAACCCAAAAUCAAAUUCAUAAGCUCCAGCAAUUAUUUGCGAUUUCCCAGAUACCAACUUCCUCCUUCUUCCUAUUUAUUAUUUCUUCCUUCUUUUCCUUCUUCUUUAUGCAUACCAGAGUAAACCUCUUUUUACCACUUUCCCCUUCUUUCUCUUUCCUUCCUCCAGCGAACUUAGAGUGAGAGAGAGAGAGAGAUCAGGCAACAACCACCCAUUUUCAGCCGCUGGAAGAGAGUUCGAGCCGAAUCCGACUCCGUCAUCCCCCUGUACGAAGAAACCCGCUUGCCAUUGUUGGAAGAGAUUGUCUCUGUGCAGAAUUUUCUUCCAAAAUUCCCAAUUCCUUCUUUCUUGGUGCAUCUGAAGCUAUCCUUUGAGGGAUUAACAAGCCAAGCAUCCACUCUUUUUGACCCAUCCACCUUUUGUUGGAGUAAUCGUUAGCAAGGAAGGGGUUUGCAUCAAUUUUUGGGGGUUCUCCCAUUUUGAUUUCUUUCUUUUUGCAAGCUGCUGGAAAGGUGCUGAAAUUGAGAGGAAAAACCGCUGGUGUAUACGUUUCUGGCACAGGCAUGGGAAGCAUAUUCUUUGUUGGCAAUUCUUGCGGGGAUUCACAUAAUAAGUCCCAAUGACCUUUGUGAUGAGUGAUGGCCUAUUUUCCCUUGCACGAUGGAUUGAAGAAGAGAUGCCUACCUUCAUCACUUAGAAACACUUGCCAAACACUGCAUGUUGCUCAUUUCUGAUAGUAUCCAACCUUCUAGUGAGUUGUGACUUAAAUCCAGGUUGGUCAAUUGAAAUAACUUCCCCAAAUCCAAUGGAAUUGCUUGAGCCAACUUGUUGUGGCUCAAAUUCAAGUAGUGUAAUCUAAACAAGUCUCCUACAAUGGUCGGAAUUGACUCAUUCAAUUUGUUUGUGGACAAGUCAAGAUAUUCGAGGCCACUCAAUGAUCCCAAGUUCGAGGGUAUAUGACCCGAAAGUUGAUUUCCAUUCAACAUCAGUUUGACCAAAGAAGUCAAUCUCCCGAAUUCCUUUGGAAUCAACCCAAAUAAACGAUUCGAAGAGAGAUCUAGCUCUUGAAUUUUUGUUGCUUUGGCUAUCUUAGGUGGUACGCUCCCAGUAAGGUUGUUUCCCGCAAGUCAUAGGGUUUUUAAUUGUGGGCAUUGUCCCCAUUUGAGUGAGAUCUCACCAUACAAGUUAUUGUGGCUUACAUCUAUAAAAUGAAGAUUUGGAUAAACACCAAAGUCUUGAGAUAUAUUGCUUGUCAAUUGGUUCCCAUGAAGACGGACUCUAAAUAAGCUCGUGCAGGUUUUUAAGUUUUGGGGAUUGGACCAGUCAAAUAGUUUUUGCUGGCUGAGAAGUUUGUGAGUUUUCCACCUUGACAAAUAUUUUGGGGCAAAUAACAAAAAAAUUGGUUUGUAUCCAAUUGCUAGUUAGUCAACUUUUUGAGAUUCUCUAUCUGUUGGGGGAUGAGGCCGGAAAGUUGGUUAUCCCGUAAGUGUAAGAAUUCAAAUAGUUUCUUAAGUCACCAAAUGUAGCAGGAAUUGAACCGUUUAGUUUAUUAAUGCUCAAUUCUAAAUCCACAAGGCUUUUCAA